rnacentral:pre_miRNA from 1 species
GUUGUACUCCCUUCGUUCCGAAUUACUUGUCUUGGAUUUGUCUAGAUACGGAGGUAUCUAGCACUAAAAUGAGUCUAGAUACCUCCGUAUCUAGACAAAUCCAAGACAAGUAAUUCGGAACGGAGGGAGUAGCUA